rnacentral:rRNA from 1 species
UGGGGAAUUUUGGACAAUGGGCGCAAGCCUGAUCCAGCCAUGCCGCGUGCAGGAUGAAGGCCUUCGGGUUGUAAACUGCUUUUGUACGGAACGAAAAGGUGCCUUCUAAUAAAGGGCGCUCAUGACGGUACCGUAAGAAUAAGCACCGGCUAACUACGUGCCAGCAGCCGCGGUAAUACGUAGGGUGCGAGCGUUAAUCGGAAUUACUGGGCGUAAAGCGUGCGCAGGCGGUUUUGUAAGACAGAGGUGAAAUCCCCGGGCUCAACCUGGGAACUGCCUUUGUGACUGCAAGGCUGGAGUACGGCAGAGGGGGGUGGAAUUCCACGUGUAGCAGUGAAAUGCGUAGAGAUGUGGAGGAACACCGAUGGCGAAGGCAGCCCCCUGGGCCUGUACUGACGCUCAUGCACGAAAGCGUGGGGAGCAAACA